CACGCUGCACAGCCACCAGUCUCUCAUUCAUCCUCUUAAAGCUGCGCAAACACACACACAGCUGCAGCAGCAGACUCUUCCCCCUUUCACCCUCAGCAAACUCACAAGCAUGAAACCCUAAUCCUUCCCAACCCAACCGCCGUACUCAACCUGUUUCCCUUCCUCCUUCCAUUCACACAAACGCAACACAAUCAGGAGCAACAGCAACGCUGCAAUGAGAAAGAAGAGAAACUGAAAGGGAGGUCUAAGAGACGAAGGGCUCAGAGGGGAGGGAGACGCCAUCCUCCCUGUCGCCAGAACUGCGAGGAGCGUCGCCGCCAAAGACGUGUCGUCGUUCCUGCCCAGUCGUGGUUCUGCCAUCCAUCACCUCGUUCCGUCACCUGAAGAGAACUGCGAUGACGAGAGGGAGAGCUCGUGCACGAAGGGAGCGCGAGAAGGAAGGAAGGUCACGUGAGGAGGAGCGCAAACCACCGCGCGGAGCUGCGCCGCUGUGUGCUGUCACCGUUGCGUCAGACUGUUGCCGCUGUCGAGCUUCGAGGAGAGAGAAGGAGGUUGCGUGGAAGAUGAAGCGCGAUGGUGGUAAGAGGUUCUGCCACCCCUCUGCUGUUGCUGAGCUGCCGCCGUCGCUGUGAAGGCUCCGCCACUGCCCUGUUGCUGCUGGGGAGAAGGAGACCGGAAUGGGUAAGUAGGAGGGGUUUCUGCCACCGUUGGAGCUCAGUUGCCGUUGUUGUAAUGGCCGCCGCGCCUUUGGCUGCCGGGAGCAGUAUCGUGGCCGCCAGAACCAGUCUUUCUUGGGUUGAGUCCCGAUAUUUGCGCUUCGGAAUUAAAGCUGCUGUUGGGCCACCGGAGCUUCUGGCCGCUCACGGAUCUUUUGUCGGGGCAAUUCGAAGUCGUAGCUGCUUCGCUUGUUAGUAUAGUUUGAGUUCCGGUGAUUUCAUGUCGCAUAAGUGUUGCGGAGGCUGCCGUGUCAUUCCUUUUAUUUCAGAAGUAGUAGCUGAGCUUAUACGUGGCGCUGAGGCUGUUUCUUAUAUUGAGAAAAACACGCGGAGUCGGGAUUUUGAUUGUGAUUUCGAGCUGAGGCGAAAAGGACUCUGAGAGACAUUUGGGUUAUGGAAUUUGUAUUUUUAGGAUAUGGCGCCGAUGUUACGAAGAGUUCAUUUAGUUGUUGUUGAGAUGCUCUGUAUUUGCUUUAGUAUAUUUUUGUUCCCUCGCCUUUAUCUUGAUACAUUCUGUAAGAGGGAUAGGAAUUGUAUUGG